rnacentral:rRNA from 1 species
CCUACGGGAGGCAGCAGUGAGGAAUAUUGGUCAAUGGGCGCAAGCCUGAACCAGCAAUGCCGCGUGUGGGACGACAGGGCUUCGCCUUGUAAACCACUGUCGGAUGGGACGAAAAGAGGUAAGAACCUCCGGGACGGUACCAUCAAAGGAAGGGUCGGCUAACUACGUGCCAGCAGCCGCGGUAAU